GCAAAGUAGGAAUCAAUGCGUUAAGUGAGGGACGGACGGGAAGUUGCCGUCCUUACGAAAAGCCGCCGUGCUGCGGCUUGCGGUGUUGGUUCCGCAUUCCGUUG
rnacentral:ncRNA from 1 species